GAUGAACGCUGGCGGCGUGCCUAAUACAUGCAAGUCGAGCGAACGGACGAGAAGCUUGCUUCUCUGAUGUUAGCGGCGGACGGGUGAGUAACACGUGGAUAACCUACCUAUAAGACUGGGAUAACUUCGGGAAACCGGAGCUAAUACCGGAUAAUAUUUUGAACCGCAUGGUUCAAAAGUGAAAGACGGUCUUGCUGUCACUUAUAGAUGGAUCCGCGCUGCAUUAGCUAGUUGGUAAGGUAACGGCUUACCAAGGCAACGAUGCAUAGCCGACCUGAGAGGGUGAUCGGCCACACUGGAACUGAGACACGGUCCAGACUCCUACGGGAGGCAGCAGUAGGGACUCUUCCGCAAUGGGCGAAAGCCUGACGGUGCAACGCCGCGUGAGUGAUGAAGGUCUUCGGAUCGUAAAACUCUGUUAUUAGGGAAGAACAUAUGUGUAAGUAACUGUGCCCAUCUUGACGGUACCUAAUCAGAAAGCCACGGCUAACUUCGUG
rnacentral:rRNA from 1 species